rnacentral:rRNA from 2 species
GCCGCGUGAGUGAUGAAGGUUUUCGGAUCGUAAAGCUCUGUUGUUAGGGAAGAACAAGUGCGAGAGUAACUGCUCGCACCUUGACGGUACCUAACCAGAAAGCCACGGCUAACUACGUGCCAGCAGCCGCGGUAAUACGUAGGUGGCAAGCGUUGUCCGGAAUUAUUGGGCGUAAAGGGCUCGCAGGCGGUUUCUUAAGUCUGAUGUGAAAGCCCCCGGCUCAACCGGGGAGGGUCAUUGGAAACUGGGAAACUUGAGUGCAGAAGAGGAGAGUGGAAUUCCACGUGUAGCGGUGAAAUGCGUAGAGAUGUGGAGGAACACCAGUGGCGAAGGCGACUCUCUGGUCUGUAACUGACGCUGAGGAGCGAAAGCGUGGGGAGCGAACAGGAUUAGAUACCCUGGUAGUCCACGCCGUAAACGAUGAGUGCUAAGUGUUAGGGGGUUUCCGCCCCUUAGUGCUGCAGCUAACGCAUUAAGCACUCCGCCUGGGGAGUACGGUCGCAAGACUGAAACUCAAAGGAAUUGACGGGGGCCCGCACAAGCGGUGGAGCAUGUGGUUUAAUUCGAAGCAACGCGAAGAACCUUACCAGGUCUUGACAUCCUCUGACAACCCUAGAGAUAGGGCUUUCCCUUCGGGGACAGAGUGACAGGUGGUGCAUGGUUGUCGUCAGCUCGUGUCGUGAGAUGUUGGGUUAAGUCCCGCAACGAGCGCAACCCUUGAUCUUAGUUGCCAGCAUUUAGUUGGGCACUCUAAGGUGACUGCCGGUGACAAACCGGAGGAAGGUGGGG